GAAAGCCCAGAGUUGUCUGCAUCCACACCUCUUUUACCAUUUCCUCAUUCAACCUGGCCACGAGGAAGAAGCCAAUCUAUAGAAAAGGAAGAAGACAACAUGUAGAACCUGAGCUUGGAGAUGGAGGGAGAUGGUAAAAUGUAAUCACAUUGUCUAAGUCACUGGGCUUCCUGGGGCCAGCUUACUCCUGGACUUCCCUGCUAUUUGAACCCAUCAUUCCAGUUUGGCUUAACUCAGUCCUGACCAUAAAAUCAACAGAGGAAGACAGAGUGGAGAUAAG
rnacentral:lncRNA from 1 species